rnacentral:rRNA from 1 species
UACGUAGGGUGCAAGCGUUGUCCGGAAUUAUUGGGCGUAAAGAGCUCGUAGGCGGUUUGUCGCGUCUGCUGUGAAAACGCGAGGCUCAACCUCGCGCCUGCAGUGGGUACGGGCAGACUAGAGUGCGGUAGGGGAGAUUGGAAUUCCUGGUGUAGCGGUGGAAUGCGCAGAUAUCAGGAGGAACACCGGUGGCGAAGGCGGUUCUCUGGGCAUUACCUGACGCUGAGGAGCGAAAGUGUGGGGAGCGAACAGG